UACGUAGGGUGCGAGCGUUAAUCGGAAUUACUGGGCGUAAAGCGUGCGCAGGCGGUUCGUUGUGUCGGUGGUGAAAUCCCCGGGCUCAACCUGGGAACUGCAUUUGUGACUGCAAGGCUGGAGUACGGCAGAGGGGGAUGGAAUUCCGCGUGUAGCAGUGAAAUGCGUAGAUAUGCGGAGGAACACCGAUGGCGAAGGCAAUCCCCUGGGCCUGUACUGACGCUCAUGCACGAAAGCGUGGGGAGCAAACAGG
rnacentral:rRNA from 1 species